GAACCCUAUUCAGAAAUGAAGUCAUUUCUCCCUCUUCUUUCUCUCUCUAUCUUUCAUUUCUCUCAUCCCUUUCUCUCGCUAACUUCAAACUCUCUCCAUUCUCUCUAAAAUAACCACCCUUGACCACCAGCCGAAAACUGCCUCCGCCGGUGUCUCCUCCCAUAACCCACCGGAAAAUUCAAUUCGUACUCGUCCAAAUGAUGAACACCAAUCCAUAUUUUCAACCAUUAUUUCAAACCCUAAGAACCCUAGCCCAGAAAGAACACUAGCUUUCAACCUAACCCCAGAAAACAUGAUCCCUAGGUUAGAAUCCUAAGAACCAUGGACCUUCGAACUCAAACCCAGAACAAAAACCUUAACCCUCAUACAAAGAACCAUAAACCUAACUUCUAGAACCCUAACCCUGAAUUUUUAGAAUCCACCUUAACCUAACCAGAAUCCAAAACCAACAAUAUUAACCCAUAGAUCGCAACCCCCUAAUCCUUAAUACAAACUAGAAAUAACACAAUUCCACAACACACUUUAAUCCCUAUUCUAUCAAACCCCAACCUAUGUCCAGCCCAGAUCAAACCCUAACCCAUAAACAAGCAAACAACAGUUCCACACAUCUCCAACAAAAAUCAAACGUGGUCACAAUAUAUAAAGCGAACCAUAACUCACAUAACAAGGUGCAACAAACACAAGUUUUUAUGCAAAGGGUCAACAGAAAUGGAGGACCAACCUACACAGAUGAGGAUUUCUCUAGUUAAAAGAGUAAAGUUUCCCUUUUUUAUUUUAACUUUAUUCUCCUUCUCCUUUUUUCUCUUAAUCUCCUUUGACUCCUCUUCUUUCUCUAUUGUUGGGGCAAUGUUGACUUGGAAUGCUCUAAAGGAUCCAGGACUUUGCUUAGGGUUUAGUUUUUGUUGUUCUUUGAUAUGAAGAGCAACAACUUUAGGGUUGUAAAUUUGCAAAUUGUGGAUAUCUUUUUUUUGUAAAAUUAGAGUCUAUUUAUAGUGAAAGAAUUAGAUUUACGUUUUAAUUUGAUUGGUUAGAUUAGGAAAGUUUUAUUUGUGAUUGGAUCUAAUUUAUGUCCCUUUAAGCAAGUUAGAAUUGUAAUCGAAAUUCCAUAAUUAAAAGGAUUUGAUUUUUUGAUUGAUAGUCUGUUUAAUCCAACUUAGUUACAUUGUUU
rnacentral:lncRNA from 1 species